GACGAACGCUGGCGGCGUGCUUAACACAUGCAAGUCGAACGGAAAGGCCCUGCUUUUGUGGGGUGCUCGAGUGGCGAACGGGUGAGUAACACGUGAGUAACCUGCCCUUGACUUUGGGAUAACUUCAGGAAACUGGGGCUAAUACCGGAUAGGAGCUCCUGCUGCAUGGUGGGGGUUGGAAAGUUUCGGCGGUUGGGGAUGGACUCGCGGCUUAUCAGCUUGUUGGUGGGGUAGUGGCUUACCAAGGCUUUGACGGGUAGCCGGCCUGAGAGGGUGACCGGCCACAUUGGGACUGAGAUACGGCCCAGACUCCUACGGGAGGCAGCAGUGGGGAAUAUUGCACAAUGGGCGGAAGCCUGAUGCAGCAACGCCGCGUGCGGGAUGACGGCCUUCGGGUUGUAAACCGCUUUCGCCUGUGACGAAGCGUGAGUGACGGUAAUGGGUAAAGAAGCACCGGCUAACUACGUGCCAGCAGCCGCGGUGAUACGUAGGGUGCGAGCGUUGUCCGGAUUUAUUGGGCGUAAAGGGCUCGUAGGUGGUUGAUCGCGUCGGAAGUGUAAUCUUGGGGCUUAACCCUGAGCGUGCUUUCGAUACGGGUUGACUUGAGGAAGGUAGGGGAGAAUGGAAUUCCUGGUGGAGCGGUGGAAUGCGCAGAUAUCAGGAGGAACACCAGUGGCGAAGGCGGUUCUCUGGGCCUUUCCUGACGCUGAGGAGCGAAAGCGUGGGGAGCGAACAGGCUUAGAUACCCUGGUAGUCCACGCUGUAAACGGUGGGUACUAGGUGUGGGGUCCAUUCCACGGGUUCCGUGCCGUAGCUAACGCUUUAAGUACCCCGCCUGGGGAGUACGGCCGCAAGGCUAAAACUCAAAGGAAUUGACGGGGCCCCGCACAAGCGGCGGAGCAUGCGGAUUAAUUCGAUGCAACGCGUAGAACCUUACCUGGGUUUGACAUGGAUCGGGAGUGCUCAGAGAUGGGUGUGCCUCUUUUGGGGUCGGUUCACAGGUGGUGCAUGGCUGUCGUCAGCUCGUGUCGUGAGAUGUUGGGUUAAGUCCCGCAACGAGCGCAACCCUUGUUCACUGUUGCCAGCACGUUAUGGUGGGGACUCAGUGGAGACCGCCGGGGUCAACUCGGAGGAAGGUGGGGAUGACGUCAAGUCAUCAUGCCCCUUAUGUCCAGGGCUUCACGCAUGCUACAAUGGCUGGUACAGAGAGUGGCGAGCCUGUGAGGGUGAGCGAAUCUCGGAAAGCCGGUCUCAGUUCGGAUUGGGGUCUGCAACUCGACCUCAUGAAGUCGGAGCCGCUAGUAAUCGCAGAUCAGCAACGCUGCGGUGAAUACGUUCCUGGG
rnacentral:rRNA from 1 species